UUGGCCUUGGUUUAGCUCCUGGUUUCCUCUUCUCGGUAAACUCGCGACUCCCUUGUAUGUUUGCGACUGGAAUGGUGAAUUUUUAUGCCUAGAAAAGACGAAAAGGACAAAGCUUUGCCUUGCUUGCCUCGGUCUUUUCCGUCACACGACAUCUCAGUCAUUCCUUCUUUAUCCUUCUUCCUUUCGGUUUAGCUUCCACACUCUCUUGCCUCCGUCCCUCUCUUCUUUUCUUCCUCCCUCGCGGCGGUCACUCUUUGGCUCCCCUUCU
rnacentral:lncRNA from 1 species